UCGGAAGAGCAGUCGGGUGCUCUAACCCACUGAGCCAUCUCACCAGCCCCUGAUGCCCUCUUCUGGUGUGUCUGAAGACAGCUACAGUGUACUUACAUAUAAUAAAUAAAUCUUUGGACUGGUGCAAGUGGGGCCAACUUGCACACAACCAUCAAUACAGCUACAGUGUACACAUAAACAUAAAAUAAAUUUAAAAAAUUUUUAAAGAAUUAAAGUAGGUUAAGAGUAAAGGGUGAGAAAACGUGGAGGGCUUCAUUCACAGGAGGAGAGAACAAUUCAAAUGGGAAAGCAGGUCACCAUGUGGGACGAACAAGUCGAGUGGAAGAGAAGAAGGUUCAAGCUCUCGGAAGCCUUGGGAUGCUGAGGAUGGGGCAGUGCAAUGGUUCUGAGCUCUCUGUUGUGUUGACCUGGGCGUGCUACUGGGAACACCUUGAAGAGCAAGUCUGUGGGGAGCAGGCUGUCAGUGAGGCUCAGAAUCAGAGGGAAGGCAGGAGCUGAAGGGGCCAUUCCCAAAGCAGGAGGGAGUCCCCUAUCUGCAGCAGGAGUGCCAGGUCUCAGAAAGAUCUGUUUCCAGACAGUCUCAAAAGCAGCCAUCUUUCCCCUCUUCCCCAUCCACUGAGAAGGCCAACAGAGUCUGACUCUGAAAAGCAAGAGACACUGUCUCCUCUCAGGCUGAAGCCUGAGCCUGGCCAAGAGUCAGAAUAACAACGUACUUGCUCUGCCUACAGGUUUAUAUAAGUUCUGGGGGCUCUGGAUGGUUAGGUGUGCGUUUGCAAGUGAGGUGAAGAAUAAGGACCACUCAGGAGAGAGCCUAUUGGCCCCAGAAGGGAGAGUGAAAGCCCUUCAUAACUGGGGUGGGCCCUCAGACACAUCAAUGGUUUUGUGGAUGUGGGCACUUGGCUGUUAGAAGCACGGGAGAAAACAGUGUACCUACGGGGUUCUUGCACCUGUUCCUAACCAGCCACAGGUUUUCUUGCUUUCUUCUGGGGCUGUUGUUAGGGGCCCCUCCUACACCAUCUUAACUGCCACGUUGAGACAGCUGGUUCUCCAGUCAGGUUCUUGUCCUGGCCUUCACUCCAAUAAAGGGAGUGGGCUGGCAGUAAAGAGAAGACAAACAAAAGAACCUUUAAAUUGUUGCCACACGGGAGCAAUUUAAACAGGAAAGUAGGUGUCAACCAAUCAAGAGAGGUUGGUAGUGACCUCAGCAGGCUUCAAGAUGCCCAGCCAAGAGGCGACAAAGGUUAUGGCUCCCACUGAGGACAGCCCCCAGGAGCAGGUGUACAGAUCUGCAGACGGCAGGCAGGGUUGUAAGUCUCCCAAUCGCUGACAGGUCUCAAAGGCUGGGGCAAUCCUUCCAUCUUGCCGUGGAAGCUGCACAUCUUCACGUCUCCAUGAGACCCUUCUCUGGAGAGUCUCCAGCACAUCGUUCAUUUACUUGUUUUAUGUGACUGCAUGUAUGUCUGUGCACCAAAUGCAUGCCUGGUGCCCUCAGAUGCCAGAGCCUCUAGGACUAGAAUUACAAAUGGUUGUGAGCUGACACAGGUGCGCUGGAAACUGAGCCCAGGUCCGCUGGAAAGCAGCCUUAACUCAGCAGUCUUAACUGCUAAGCCCCUCUAACAAAUCUCCUGCGUUCUUCCUUCCAGAGAGUACCUUUAGCAACCUUGCCCCAACCCUUAGCCACCUGAAGGGUAAAAGCCCUCGGGCAACCUGUUAUAUAUAUAUAGAGGCAGGCCCUGAUUGGCUGUGUGUACAUACAGUCGAGGUGUAGAUGGAACCAAUCAGGAAGCAGCUUUCAAACCUGGAAGGGAAGGGUCUCAUUCGUUCAGGUCAAAUACUCUGUUACCUUUUUUGCCUCUGUGGAUGGAAGAGAAGCCAGUGCUGAGCCAUUGAAGGGUACCACAGUCUGCCCUUUCCGGCUGCUGCAGCAACAAUGUUCUGAUCGUCUCACCACACUAGGCUGGAGCUAGCCUCCUGCUUGUCACUGCCUGUUCAAAUAGGAUCUUCACUGAGCCUCCGAUCUCUUACAGUGGUUGGAAGCUGUCGAAAAGUCUGUUCCUGGAUGCACUCGCCCUUGGGUUUGUCUGCUUUUUCUUCAUUUCUGGCUGCCACGCUGGUCACACAUGUCCCUCUUUGGUCCCUAUUGAUGUCAUGCCAUUCUCCAGUGCUCUCAGGGAUGCUUUGAUAGGCCAUCUUAAGAUGUGGCAGCCAGCCUCCAAGAUGGCCCCGUGGUCCUGGUCCUCUGGUGUCCAUACCCUGGCUUGUUCCAGGGAUAGUCUGUGUGACCAACAAAAUUUGCCAAAAAGAUGUAUUUCUGCUGUUCCACUGCUGCUUCGGCAAAUAGCAGAAAGAGGGUGCUUGGUAAAUGGGGGAGGGGGUGGGAGGGGGGGAGGGGGAGGGGGGAUACUUAGUGCAGGGUUCUGAAGGCAUGGCAUGGCCUUGCCAGGCUCUGGGGAGAGUUUUUCACUACAUCAUAACAUGGCAGAGGGCAAGCACAUCAAGUGUGCCAUCUUGGGCCUUUCUUCCUCUUUCAUAAAGCUACUAAUACCUUUGUGGGGUCCCACUCCCAUGACGUUUUCUGAACCCCAUUUUCUCCCUGGACCCUGCCCCCAUCUGCAAAUGCCAUUAACAUAUGACUUUGGAGACUAAAAUUUCAGCACAUAAACCAGGAGAGACAAGUAUUCAAACAAUAGUUUUGAACUGCAGCACACCAUUUCCCAGAUUAGGUCAAGAGUUAGUAGAUAAAAGAUUUGAGCCUGGCCAAACCUGGGGUGUGUGUGUGUGUGUGUGUGUGUGUGUGUGUGUGUUAUGUGUUGUAUGUGUGUGUUUCUUUCGUUUUUGAUAACUUGCUUUAGGGGAAUGAAUGGACAGGCGAGGCAGGAAACCCUACAAGAGGAACCGAUCUUGGAAACACGAAGCCCAGCUGAUGAUGGCCUGAGCAGAUGCUCCCGAGAGACCCUGUACAGAACGACCCACUCCAGCCACCCCCAGAGCUCUGACCCUCAGACACUGUGUGAUGGGCUGUUGAUUGCAGGCUUUUCUGCGUUGUGUAAGAAAACAGUCACGGAAGCCAUGGUCGUCUCCUUCCUGACUUCCACAUUCUGUAGAAGACACCUGUUAGCCACGAGUGCCUGAGUGUGUGGAUGCUGCCCUGGCCCCAUUCUCAACGGGUAUCAUGGAUUGAGUGGUCACUCUUGAGAGCACUGGCUCCCACGGCCGGCUGCAGGGAACAACGCUGCGUGAGCUCGUUUGCCUACUUCCAGCAAUUUGGCUCCCAGGAAGGAGAUGAAGUAGCUAUUUGAGGCCCGCGCUUCCCCUCCAUCUUCGUAAGACAAUUUUGGGUGUUUUCUCCGGCGUGGCUAUGGGAUCUGAUUCUGGCUGCGACCUGGGUGACAUAUUCCUAGGAAGAGCCACAAGAAGCCAGUGAUGGUGUUGGGGGUGGGGUGGGACAGACAAGGCCUCUGGGGGUAAUGGCCUCUGUUAGAGCCCAGGCUGUGGGCCAGCUUAGAUGGCAUUGCUGCUCUGUGCAUAGGCGACACUGGCCCCUGCCUUAGUUUAGUGCCUCUGUGAUUGGUCUGAGCGUAUGGGUGUGGCCCUCACACUGCCCUACCUGGAUGAACACUAACCCAGACCUAACUGCUGGCCCCACAGAUCCUGGAGCACUGUUGUAGCCGCAUCCUCUCUCCCAUGGACCUGAGCCGUGUUUGCUGACUUUCUCUCAGGCACAGGCCCAUCCAGAGCCAGGAAGUCUCAUUAAGAACAGCGCACUCCAGUUCCUACAGAAAGCAUGGCCGCCCCAGGCCUUAAGCCAGCCAUCUUUCUCCCAGGAACGCAUCUGCAGCCCCGAGGGCCUCUCUGAAGAACCCUUGACCUGGGCUCCAACUUGCAGAAGGAAUUUCUUUCUGCAGGAAAGGAGUAGGGGAGCUGGGAUAUAAAGGAGACCCUCUGUGUCGGCCUGGCUGCCACAGUGAGGCUGUUCCCGGUGCGCAGUGCCCAUUCCUCUCUCAAGCUUCACCAGUCAUUCAAACUGUCUGCAGAAGAUGAGCGUGGCAGUGUCUAUCAUCCCAGCACUUGGAAGACUGAGGCAGGAGGAUCACAAUUGUAGGCCAAGCCAAGGAUGGGCUGUACAAUAGGUGGAGCAGCCCCACACAUACCGGAGUGCAGGCCAGAAUUCAUUCUUAGCCCCCUUCCCUUUCCUUGUGAGUCAAAGCCCGCUCCACCUCUCAUGUGCACUCCUCAGGUGCUGCAAGCUUAGCCGCUCCAACCUAGGGGUUACUCCUCACCUCUUCAUCCAAGAAUCAUCUACUCAAGUCGCACCUUGUUGGGCCCUACUGCCAAGCCCUAAAGGUAGAGGUGUGAGCAGGCUCAAGGGGACUCCCAGAGAGAAGCCGAGAUCAGGAAGGGCUUUUCAGUCAGAAGGGCUGGCGUGGCUGGCGUGGCUGACUGGCAGAGGUCAGGAAAGGCUUUUGGGAAGAGGUGACCAGAGAGGUUGGGUUCUGAGAAGAAAUCGAUAAAGUGCCCCCAGCAGGCCAAGGCUGCUGAGUCACAUCCAGGCCACAGGUGCUGUGAGGCUCAGCAGAACUGAAGCUGCGGCAGUGAUAGAGGUUAGACACUUGGACAGGGAGAGGUCA
rnacentral:lncRNA from 1 species